rnacentral:lncRNA from 1 species
AUGCAGUGGGCUGCUAACAGAAGGGCUGGCAAGUGCUCAGUCCAAAAUGGAGGCCCUGAGUUCAGAGCCCAGAAGAUUGAUCCGAGGAGCCAGCUGAUGCGGCCUGAGGACAGCAGACUGGUUGUGGGCACGUGGCAGAGAGCAACUAUCAAGGUACUGGAGAAGGCGGCUCCAAGACUAGUAUUUCUUCCUGUCAUCCUCAAACGCAAUAAAAGAGACUGGGAAUAG